AACGCACAUUGCGCCCCCUGGCAUUCCGGGGGGCAUGCCUGUCCGAGCGUCAUUUCUGCCCUCAAGCACGGCUUGUGUGUUGGGUGUGGUCCCCCCCCCUUCCCGGGGGGGGACCUGCCCGAAAGGCAGCGGCGACGCCCGCCAGCAGCUCUUCCAUCUACGGUUUGACCUCGGAUCAGGUAGGGAUACCCGCUGAACUUAA
rnacentral:misc_RNA from 1 species